GGAAUUUUGGACAAUGGGCGCAAGCCUGAUCCAGCAAUGCCGCGUGAGUGAAGAAGGCCUUCGGGUUGUAAAGCUCUUUUGUCAGGGAAGAAACGGGUUUUUCUAAUACAGAGACCUAAUGACGGUACCUGAAGAAUAAGCACCGGCUAACUACGUGCCAGCAGCCGCGGUAAUACGUAGGGUGCAAGCGUUAAUCGGAAUUACUGGGCGUAAAGCGUGCGCAGGCGGUUUUGUAAGACUGUCGUGAAAUCCCCGGGCUCAACCUGGGAAUGGCGAUGGUGACUGCAAGGCUAGAGUUUGGCAGAGGGGGGUAGAAUUCCACGUGUAGCAGUGAAAUGCGUAGAUAUGUGGAGGAACACCGAUGGCGAAGGCAGCCCCCUGGGUCAAAACUGACGCUCAUGCACGAAAGCGUGGGGAGCAAACAGGAUUAGAUACCCUGG
rnacentral:rRNA from 1 species